GCUCUCCCUUUCUCUGCUUCUCUCCCCUCAGUCUCUUCUUCUCUGCAAAACACGCACAGACCACACACGCACACACCACACACGCAGUCUCUCCUUCUCUCCCUCAGUCUCUCCGUCUCGUCGUCCCAUCCUUCUCCCUCAGCCUCGAUCUCGAUCCUUCUCUCCCUCAGUCUCUCCGUCCGUCUAUCCUUCUCCCUCAGCCUCGAUCUCGAUCCUUCUCCCUCAGUCUCUCCGUCCAUCCUUCUCCCCUCAGUCUCUCCAUCCUUCUUCUUCUCCCUCAGUCGUCUCUGGUGGUGCGCCGCUGAGCAAGGAGUUGGCCCAGUCAUCGAUAUUUCAGGUGAGAUUCCAUUGAAAACCCUAAGCCCUAAAACCGAUAUCACAUAUGUUGAAUCGUUGAUGCAUGCGUGAAAUUUUGGAGUAUAUAUUGUGAAAAUUUAAGUUAAAAAUUCGUGUUUUUGCAAGGUUUUUGGGACGAAAUGGGCUCGGGAACAGGCACACCAUCUCCGGCGUUCUUCUCCGGCGUCCGAUAUCGGAAUCCGAUUGCACCGUUCAACGAAAUAUCGCGAUAUUUCCAAAAUAUCGCGAUAUUAUCGAUAAUAUCGCGAUAUUUGGACGAAAACUACACGGAAACCAGUUUAAAUAUCCAUUACCCGAAAAAUCGAUAUUAUCGGCGAUAUUUCGCCGAUAAUAUCGAUAUUUAAAUCCAUGUUGUUACUUGAUGUAGAAGAAAAUGAGCACGAAGUUCAAUGAUGAAAAUGGCACCUCGGUCAGGGAAUCAAAUAUGUCAUCUUCCUCACAAAGCAGGAUUACAAAACUUAUUUUGUAGCUGUUUAUUUUUUAUUUUAUUUAUAUGAAAAUGAAAUACAAAGAAAGCCAGAUGUGCAAGUAUAUGUAAAGUGUAAUUAGUAUGUAAUAUUGUGUAUUUGUGAUACUUGUACAAUUUCCUGGUGCCUAGUUCAACUUCAGACCAACCAGUUUGAAAUGUAGAAAUCAAAAGAGCUCGAGAAUACAUAAUGCCCGUACAAUUGUGGUUUGCCCACGUAUAGGCUGGAAUGCCUGGAUCCGAUCCGUUGGAUUUGUGAUGGGCCGCCUCGGUUGUAUUAUUUUUGGGCCGGGCCUCGUGCGACAGAUUGAGGAGGGAAAAUAACUAUAAUCAGCAUGUGACAUGCACGUGUAUCCCAAAAAAAAGCUGUACUACAGUUGCAGGUGGAUGAUAGAUUUUUCAGUGUAACCAAGAGAUGAUACAUCAUGUAUCAUGUGUUCCUGUAUAAAUGAUAAGUUAUGUGUGUUAAAUGAUUAAUAACUUAAAAAUUAAAAAAUUUCAUCACUUGUAUAAAAACACGUGGUGUACCAUUCGUAUUCUCGUCGUAACUAAAAAUAUCUUCAGGGGGAGGAGAAGGCGGUGGUGGAAUUUUGCAUUGGGGAUUGCGUUCUGAAGAAUUUGAGAGAGGAAGAGUAGCCGAAGACAGAACCAAAUCAAAAUUUAUAAGGGUUAGGGGGGAAUAUGUCGGAUCCGCUCGAGAGACGAAAGGAGGCAGAUUGACCUUCAAAGGAGGCACCAGGCAGUGCUGGGGCGGUGGGGCCUCAGGAGUUCAUGUUAAUGUGGUUUCCCAGCUGCAUGCGGAGAUCUUGGCGGCAAGGCAUGCUGCGAAAAUUUUGGUGCAGAUCGUCAAUGGAGGACAAGACGUCGUGUUCGAAGGUGAUUCGAGCAUAACUAUAGCUGCUCUACAAAGGAAGGAAGAUGGUUUGUCCACCUUUGGGAGAUACUAGGAGCUUUCUCCCGGUAAUUGCGCAUAUUGAAAUGCGCCACAUUCGACGCGAAGCCAAUCAAGCAGCGCAUCGGCUUGCUCGUGCACGAAUUGGAAGACAUUGCGAUGUGUUAUGGUUUGAAGACCCUCCGGACUUGAUCUAGGACAUCCUAGUAGAAGAAAGACCCAGUUAAUUUUACUUCGAUCGUAAUAUUUGAGAUAGUUUACUAUACAUUGGUUGUGCCAUAUACUAUUACCGGAUUGAAAUUUCUAACAAGAUUUUUAUCAAGACCCAUCUAUGCACCUUAUCCUCAAUAUUGUAGGUUUUUAUUGCAACUUAAUGAAUAUCGUACUUUUUCUUAAAAAAAUUAUCUCAUAUUUUGAAAAAUAGACAUAUGUUGAGUUAUUAAUGAUAAGUGAUAAGGACAAUAUUGAGAUACACAAACAGAGUCAAAUUCUAUACUUGUCCACAUGAUGUCACCGACACUUAAUGCUAGUGACUUAGCAAAUGCAUAAUUCUCAAAAUGUUAGGUAUUUAUUAUUGUUUUUUUUUUUGGUCAAAUGAUAUAUUUGUUAAAUUAAAUGUUAGACUAGGGGGCUGAUCGGGUUCGAUCUCACACCGUAGUGUAAGGGCAACACUUCUCUCUAAUAUUGUAGUAGAUAACCACUUGCAAUGUUAGGUAUUUAUUUGAAAUGUUUUAAAAAGUUUAGAACAAUUUAAAAUUAUUCUUGUUAGGUAAUUAUUUGUACGCAACUAACACAAAUUUGUAGACCGGGCUUAACCAUGUUGUCUACAAUAAUGUAUACUCUCUCAUUUGAAUAAAAAAAUUGAAUCUGAUCUCCCCUUAGUAUAUAGCUUGUUUAGAACUGCUCUUAAAAUAACUGAAAUCACUUGUAGAAAAAAUAUUUUUGGGUUUCAAAAGCACUUAAAGUGCUUCCUGCAUUCUUGCAUGAAGCAAUGAAGUGAUUUUCUAGAAUUCAUUUGUCAUUUUACUAUGGAUUGAUUCCAAAAGCAUUUUUAUCAAAAACGUUGUUAACCAUUUUAAACGCUUUUAACCAUUUCAAAUGAGUCCAAUAUCACCGGUUUUGAAAAACAAAAAUAAAAAUAAAAAAUUAACACAAACCCCCCAAAUAUGAUCUAUUAAAGAAAGAAAUCAACUAUAGAUUGCCGCAUCAUGUAUUCUACAAAAUAUGUUCUAAAAAUAUGAUAGCUUUAGCAUUCUCUUUUGGUAAAUAGAUUAUGAAACGAGUGUUGAAGUUUAUUAAGUCAAUGAUCGAUCAAUCAAUCAUUAGAGUUUGGCCUAAGAAUAAUACAAUUGAACAAUAAUUAUUUAGGGAAAUAAAUUAUGCUUGAUUUAUGUGAUUAGCAAUGAAUGAUCCCUUUCGUAAUCAAUACAGGAAAUUAAUCCCAAAAUAAAAUUAAAAAAUCAAUGUAGGAAUCGAAGCCUCGAGGUAAGACAAGUAUAAUUAUAAUCAUACUUGAGAGAUAUUGAUAUAUAGUUGAGAGAGUGUUUUGGAGCAAUAUUGACAUAUAUUAUAUAAUAUAAUUGAGAGAAUAUAAUAAUAAUUAUACACUCAUCAUCAAGGACGGAGUUAGAAAUUUUUUUUUAUUGGGGGCGUCUUAAAACAACCAAGUAAAAUAAUGGGUUUUAGGUUAUUGAAGACCAAAUACAGUAAAAAAUCUCUAAAUUAGAAAGUUAAAUUCUAACUUGUAAUGCCACAAACAAAUGAAUGAAGUAAAUUCAUAUAAAAUACUUUGGAGUAAAAAUUUUGUAUUAAAUUAUGAUACUUCAUCAGUUGAAUCCAAUGUAUUUAUCAAAACCCCUAGUUCAAUUGAGUUUGAUUUAGGUUAGAAAACGUGGAAUAUUUGGAACCAAAAUCAAAAUUUUAAUUGUUGUUUUAAUUGUCAUGACAUUUUUGCUUUCCUCACCCAAAAAUCUGAAUGGGGGCGGAUGCCCUCCCUGGGCCUUAUGUAGCUCCGUCCAUGCUCAUCAUCAUCGAAAAUAUCCAAAAUAGGAGAAUAAGAUAUAAACUUGGUUUCCUUGAUGAAGUUGCAUGUUCAUAGGCGAACCUCAAAUAAAGAAAUGAGCUGUACUACUAACAUGAAAUAAUUCCGAAAAAAUGCGAAUAUAAAAUUAGCAUGAGAUAGUAAAAUAAGAAUGUUUACGUAAUUUUUUUGGUGUGUUAAAUAUUCUAUACUUGAAUAUGCAUCAUGGAGAAGAGAUGACAAAAUUAAUAAACAUAUAUAGCGUUGAAACGUCGGUUGCAGCCGGAUUGAAUAAAAUCAAGCAGAGAAAUAAGAAUACUCUUAAUUUUGAAAAGUCUUCUCUCCGAUUGAAUAUUGAUAAUAAUUCCCAACAUCAUCUUCAUCUCUCUUGUGAGUCAUGUUAGACUAGUUCCCAUCACCAGAAUAUACAUGUUCAGACGUUCUGGCUUGUGUCGGCAUCUUUUGACUUGGCAACUAACAAUAAAAAAUUAUAUCAAUUCCCCCAAUUAGGUUUAACAAGUUCAUUUUGAAAUUAUUUAAUGGCUUUGAUUGAUUAAUUUUGGGAAAGAAUAUUAUCAUUAAUUUUUUUUGAAAACGGUGCAAUAUUCAUUGAUAAGGUAAUAGACUACAUCCACUCAUUGAGGAUAUGAUGCAUACAAUGAAUCUCAAUAAAAAUCUGGCUAGAGAUUUCAAUCCAGUCAAUAAAACAAAAGAGUAUCCAUCACCAUAAAAGGAAUUAAUUAUACAUGACAUGAUAUAUUAAUUCCCUAGAAUUUGGAAGAGGAGAGGGCACACCAUUCUUGCCGUGGCCUGCCGACUGGCCUCACUAUCUGUCCGCUACGUGCAAUAAUUUAGUGGUUAAAAUUAAAAUUAUAUAUACAUAUUCGAUAACAAUUAGAAUUAUAUGUAAAUUUGUUCCAAGGUUGAACAUUUUAAUCUUAGUUUACUAUCCUAAAGUUUUGUGGUUUUUAACAUUUGUUACAUGAAGUUUUUUUUCAUCCAAAAGUCAUACCUCAAGUCUUAAUUUUGGGACAGUUUUGUAUAUCUGUUAAGUUUUCUAUUAGAACUUAUGUUAACUGAUGACGUGGUGCACACGUGGACAAUAACUGAGUGUCACGUGCUAAUAAUAAAUACAAAAAAAUACAAACAAACAAAAAAACCCAACCCGUCUUCUACCUCCCCCAACCCCUUCCCUUCCUUCAUCCUUUG
rnacentral:lncRNA from 1 species